UGCGCCCGGAGGACGCGGCCUUGGCCAAUCCCAGGGCUACAGGGCGCUUUUAAAAUGCAGGAACCUACUUCAGGGAACCACACAGAGGCCAAAUUCAGAAUCCCUACUUGAACCACUGACCUUUUGCCCUCUCCAAGGCCGGAAGCAAGCCCUUGCCUGCUGCACGCCUCAGUUGCCCCGUCUGUAAAGUGGGCAGCCCAUCAAAUUCACAUCUCCCUGGCUGAGAGUCAUCUGGAGAAAUAAUGAGUACGUGACCUAAUGAAAAUUUCAUGGUGCCUGCCGAGCGGGGUGGGUAAGCCACUGGCCCAACGCUGUCAUUACGGGAGAUGAAGCAGCGCGUGGGCUGAUGACUGGCAAGGGGUGCAGCCACAGCAAUCUUUCAUCAUGAGUUCCCUUGGGAGGCCAGGUAGGUCAGCUCUGAAAGCACACAGUGCUGCGUGGCCUGCCUUCCUGUGGCUGCGGCUUGGGCGCCAUCCCAAGCCGGGUUGGCCAGAACUCUGCCUGUGCAGCCCCGCCCCCAGGGAAGCAGGAACCAAUGCAUCUGAGCAACCUCCUCCUAUCUGCAGAGGAGGAAGCGAAGGUGUAGGGGGGUUAAGGCACUGGCCUAAGGUCCCACAGCCAAGGGGUGGCUGGGAGGUGCAGUCAGGUCUGCCUGGCACAGAGUCUGGUCUCCUGACCACGACGCCAAGCUAGUUAUUACUGUCACCACAACAGAAUACUAAUAAUAGUUGUUGUAAUUAUUAUUGUGGAGGGCUGUUCUCCAGGCAGGCAGGUCUGGGUUCCUGCGUCACUGGGGCCAGGAGGCUGGCUAGUGCCCACAAUGAGGCAGGGUCCUGUCCCAACCAGCACUCGGAGAAUGCUGGAGAUGGGAGGCUGAGCUCAUCCUGCAGCCUGGGGCCUCACCCCACCCUCCAUCCAAUGCUGGGUGGCAGGCGGCCUCUCCAAUGCCCAUCUGCCCUGGAGGUCUCUGGUGAUGGAUACAGUGGAGAUUCGUUGAUAUGAACAUUAAACAUUCAACCAGA
rnacentral:lncRNA from 1 species